AGUGAACGCUGGCGGUAGGCCUAACACAUGCAAGUCGAACGGCAGCACAGUAAGAGCUUGCUCUUACGGGUGGCGAGUGGCGGACGGGUGAGGAAUACAUCGGAAUCUACUUUUUCGUGGGGGAUAACGUAGGGAAACUUACGCUAAUACCGCAUACGACCUACGGGUGAAAGCAGGGGAUCUUCGGACCUUGCGCGAUUGAAUGAGCCGAUGUCGGAUUAGCUAGUUGGCGGGGUAAAGGCCCACCAAGGCGACGAUCCGUAGCUGGUCUGAGAGGAUGAUCAGACACACUGGAACAGAGACACGGUCCAGACUCCUACGGGAGGAAGCAGUGGGGAAUAUUGGACAAUGGGCGCAAGCCUGAUCCAGCCAUACCGCGUGGGUGAAGAAGGCCUUCGGGUUGUAAAGCCCUUUUGUUGGGAAAGAAAAGCAGCAGGUUAAUACCCCGAUGUUCUGACGGUACCCAAAGAAUAAGCACCGGCUAACUUCG
rnacentral:rRNA from 1 species